rnacentral:sRNA from 1 species
GCCAAGCGUGGUGGUCCACGCCUAUAAUUCCAGCAACUUGGGAGGCUGAGGCAGGAGGAUUGCGAGUUCAAAGCCAGCCUCAGCAAAAGCAAAGUGCUAAGCAACUCAGUGAGACCCUGUCUCUA